rnacentral:rRNA from 1 species
CCAGACUCCUACGGGAGGCAGCAGUGAGGAAUAUUGGUCAAUGGGCUUACGCCUGAACCAGCCAAGUCGCGUGAGGGAAGACUGCCCUAUGGGUUGUAAACCUCUUUUGUCAGGGAGCAACGCCGGCUACGUGUAGCCGGACUGAGGGUACCUGAAGAAAAAGCAUCGGCUAACUACGUGCCAGCAGCCGCGGUAAUACGUAGGGGGCAAGCGUUAUCCGGAUUUACUGGGUGUAAAGGGAGCGUAGGCGGUUAGAUAAGUCUGAUGUGAAAGCCCACAGCUUAACUGUGGGAUUGCAUUGGAAACUAUAGAACUAGAGUGUCGGAGAGGUAAGUGGAAUUCCUAGUGUAGCGGUGAAAUGCGUAGAUAUUAGGAGGAACACCAGUGGCGAAGGCGGCUUACUGGACGAUGACUGGCGCUGAGGCUCGAAAGCGUGGGGAGCAAACAGGAUUAGAUACCCGGGUAUA